rnacentral:rRNA from 1 species
CUAACAAGGAUUCCCCCAGUAACGGCGAGUGAAGCGGGAAGGGCUCAAAUUUGAAAUCUCCGACGCCUGCGUCGGCGAGUUGUAGUUGCGAGAAGCACUUUCUCGGCGGACCGGACGCGCCCAAGUUGCUUGGAACAGUACGUCGCAGAGGGUGACAACCCCGUCCGCGGCGCGUGCGGCCGCCCACGAUGCGCUUUCGAAGAGUCGGGUUGUUUGGGAAUGCAGCCCAAAAGGGGUGGUAAACUCCAUCUAAAGCUAAAUACUGACGUGAGACCGAUAGCGAACAAGUACCGUGAGGGAAAGAUGAAAAGAACUUUGAAAAGAGAGUUAAAGAGUACGUGAAACCGUUGGAAGGGAAACGAAUGCACUCAGCAAUGCGCCGUUCGAGAUUCAGCCGGGCGGCGGGGUCGGCGCGGGGUCUCUGCGGAUCCGAAUGGACCGCGGCCUCGUGCGCGUCCUCGUCGACCGUCGCACUUCUCUUGGGCGCGCGUCAACGUCGGUCGGUUGUGGGUCUGAAGGGUUCCGGGAAGGUGAGUUCGGCAGCCCGGUUCUCGGAUUGGCUCGCGGUGGACCGAGGCACGGUGUCGCAGCGCAUGCCUCCAUUUGGCUGGGGUCCCGUCGCUCCGGCCGGUCGUCGACCGCGGUGGACUGCUCGCAGUGCUCCGCGACUGCUGCCGGUCGUUGGGGCGGUGAUGUCACAAGAUGCGCUCGGGA